AGCGAACGCUGGCGGCAGGCCUAACACAUGCAAGUCGAACGAACCCUUCGGGGUUAGUGGCGGACGGGUGAGUAACACGUGGGAACGUGCCUUUAGGUUCGGAAUAACUCAGGGAAACUUGUGCUAAUACCGAAUGUGCCCUUCGGGGGAAAGAUUUAUCGCCUUUAGAGCGGCCCGCGUCUGAUUAGCUAGUUGGCGAGGUAAUGGCUCACCAAGGCUACGAUCAGUAGCUGGUCUGAGAGGAUGACCAGCCACAUUCGGACUGAGACACGGCCCAAACUCGUACGGGAGGCAGCAGUGGGGAAUCUUGCGCAAUGGGCGAAAGCCUGACGCAGCCAUGCCGCGUGGAUGAUGAAGGUCUUAGGAUUGUAAAAUCCUUUCACCGGUGAAGAUAAUGACUGUAGCCGGAGAAGAAGCCCCGGCUAACUUCGUGCCAGCAGCCGCAGUAACAC
rnacentral:rRNA from 1 species